rnacentral:lncRNA from 1 species
CUGAGACCCACACGAAUUUAGGGUUUUCUACAACAACGAGUUCGAAAGAUGGUAAACAGACGAGUCAAGCAAGAUUUUAAACAAACAAAUGCACAUCUUAAACAUAUUAAAAGUUAGAGAAGAGAUUUUGAAAUAACUUAAUAGGAAAAAACCCUAAUCGGAAAAAGAGUCGUUUUUGAAAGCAAAAUUAAAUAAACUACGAGAAGAUGCUUAAAAGUUCAGAGCAAGCAUAGAUCUAAAGUGGAUCUAAAAGAAAUCGAAAAGACCUUAGAGAUUAGGGUUUCAAAAAACCCAAAAAAAAUGAGAAAGGCUUUGAAAGUUACCGAUCUAACCAGGAAAGUCAAAGGUUUGACUCGAAUGACCAUGGCCAGCCGGAGAAAGGUCAAAGAUGACCGGAGAAGGGCCAUGAACUAAAAUCGAACGAAGAUUGGACCAGAGCUCUUCAUAGUCAGGCCUUAAAACCAUAAGGACAAACACAUAGGAGCUAGGGAAGGCUGGUACAGGUCUCCGAUGACCUCGGAAGGCCAUGGAUUAGGGUGGAUUAGCGUGGUGAUGGCUAGUGUUUGAGUGGUGUUGCAGAGAGUGUUUGAGAGGAAAGGGAUUCUAAGGUGGCGGUAAGUGAGAAAUGAUAGGGUUUUGGGGUCGUUUGGAAUUAAUUAAGGCUAGGGUAAAUAUUGGCCGUUGAUCUGAGUGAUCAAUGGCCUGGAUUAAAACGGGUAAGUGGAGCGGUUUAUGAAAUUGUGUUCAGGCCUGGUUCGAUGAGUUCAAUUGGGUCGAGAAUUGGGUUAAAAGUGGGGUAGAAUUUAGGCUAUGAUUGAAAUGAAUUUGGGCUAUUAUUUAAAUAGCCAAUUUCCCCUUUGAAAAUUAUAAUAAAAUAGCAAAUUGAUUUUUGAAAAUAAAUUAAAGGUACUAAAAUAAUUUAUAACACAUAAUUAUCAAUUUAAAAAUACUGGACUUAAUUAUUUAUAAAUGUAAAUGCAACUAAAUCUUAAAAGGGGCUAAUAUUGCAAUUAUAUGCAAUUUAGCUUUAAAAAAUACUAAAUAAAUUUGUAAAAAUAUGCAAAAAUAUCUUAGCUAUAUUUUAAUACAAAUAUGAGAAUCCAAUAAAUGAAUCACUAAAAAUGAUAAUUUUGGGAAUUAUUAUUGAGUUUUUAUGAAUAAAAAUAGGGGAAUAAAUUGGUUAAAAGACCUUUAAAAAAUAAGUAAAAAUAAUAAAACAAUUGGACACACUUAUACAUGCAUACACAUGCUGUUUUGAAAGUAUCUUACAUAUUAAAAAAUUUAUAGGAAAAAAAUUGGGUAUCAACAGCUGCCCCUCUUUAUCCGGGAAGGAUGAAAGAGUUGUCGGGUAAAGAUAUGAUGGCUAAUUUUGACCGAGCGGAACGGUUCGAAGAGAUUUAGGCCGUGAUCUGGCUUCUGAGUUGCUUACAUAUCCUUGGUUCUACAGGAAUCAGGCCAGAUGUAGUUCAGGAUCUGUCGGCGGAGUAUGUCGAUUGAGACUUUUCAAGAACGGAUGCAAUAUCGAGGACGGGGUGAAUGGUUAAGGUCUGAUAGGGCUGCGGGAACUAGAGCGGGAUCACUCCUGUCGAGAUGGAUGUUGCCCUCUGGUUUACCUGCAAAUAGGCAACAUAAGCAUAUACUAUGCGUAAAUUUAAACAUGAUGCACAUUCUCGUCGGACCAUGAAUGUUGUCUUCGGACGAUGAGAAUGAUGUCCUUAGAACAUGAUGUCCUAGGCCAUGAAGCGUGCAAUAAAGGAUUCNNNNNNNNNNNNNNNNNNNNNNNNNNNNNNNNNNNNNNNNNNNNNNNNNNNNNNNNNNNNNNNNNNNNNNNNNNNNNNNNNNNNNNNNNNNNNNNNNNNNNNNNNNNNNNNNNNNNNNNNNNNNNNNNNNNNNNNNNNNNNNNNNNNNNNNNNNNNNNNNNNNNNNNNNNNNNNNNNNNNNNNNNNNNNNNNNNNNNNNNNNNNNNNNNNNNNNNNNNNNNNNNNNNNNNNNNNNNNNNNNNNNNNNNNNNNNNNNNNNNNNNNNNNNNNNNNNNNNNNNNNNNNNNNNNNNNNNNNNNNNNNNNNNNNNNNNNNNNNNNNNNNNNNNNNNNNNNNNNNNNNNNNNNNNNNNNNNNNNNNNNNNNNNNNNNNNNNNNNNNNNNNNNNNNNNNNNNNNNNNNNNNNNNNNNNNNNNNNNNNNNNNNNNNNNNNNNNNNNNNNNNNNNNNNNNNNNNNNNNNNNNNNNNNNNNNNNNNNNNNNNNNNAGGGAUCCUCAAGCCAAGACAUGGUGUUCUCGGGCUAUGAAAAUGGUGCCUCCGAAUGAUGACGCUUUUGGAUAAUUUGGCGAUCUUUCAGCCUAUGAAAUGCAGUGUGUGGCGAUCUUUCAGCCUAUAAGAUGCAAUAAGUGGCGAUCUUUCAUCCAUGCGGCGAUCUUUCAACCGUGCAAUACGGUAGGUGGCGAUCUUUCAACCCUUGAGAUGUAGAUGUGGCGAUCUUUCAGCCAUGCAACACAGUAGGUGGCGAUCUUUCAGCCGUGUAGAUGCAGAUGGAUGUAGAGCUUAAUUUCAGAAGGUAGAAUAGUAGCCUUAUGUAAUGCGAAAAUGCAGAUGGAGACAAUGUUUACUCUCGGAAGGCAGAAUAGUAGCCUUAUGCAAUGCGGAAAUGCAAAUGGAGAGCGUUUAGUCUCGAAAGGCAGAAUAGUAGCCUUAUGCAAUGCAGAAAUGCAGAUGGAGACAACGUUUAGUCUUGGAAGGCAGAAUAGUAGCCUUGUGCAAUGCGAAAAUGUAGAUGGAGACAUUGUUUAGUCUCGGAAGGCAAGAUAGUAGCCUUAUGCAAUGCGACAAUGUAGAUGGAGAUAGCGUUUAGUCUCGGAAGGCAAAAUAGUAGCCUUAUGCAAGAAAUAAAAUGGCAAAUGGUAAUAAGUUUUCUUAGCUGAUAGCAAAUUGCGAUAUUGUGAUUGUUGGGGACACUGUUGUGUGUGGAUAGCAAAUGUGAAUAAAUGCAAUGGUUCUGAGAGUUGUAUUCCUGAACAACGUUUAUUUCUUAAGUGUAUAGUAUGCUUGAUGGUUUUGCAAUCCAAGUGCCUCCAUCCAAAGAAAAAUCGUGAGUUUUGCAAAAAGAGGGGGGGGGGAGGUUAGUUCGUAUCCCCGCUGGAUCUACUUGACCUGCUCGACUUUGAUCUGGUGAUACUGCAUGUAUCGUUGGGGUAGCAUUGCUAAACAAAGCAAUUUCAAUAAUAAACAGGCAUGAUUUUGUGAAAGUAUGACAUAAGUGUAUAAUUAAAAUAAUUUUUAGAUGAACCGACGACUGCGACGUAGUUCAAGACAUUGCAACCUCUCCUGCUACGGAAUUUUGAGAGUCCUCCUCAAAAUUCUACCCCAGUUUGAUGAGUUGGCGCUUCUAACGGUUGCUUGUGGCAAUUGGCUGAAAUUACUUCGGAAUUUUGAGGGUCCCCCUCAAAAUUCUGCCCCAGUUUGCAAUUGCAGUGGGGGGGGGGGGGGGGGGAUGAACUCUUUAUUGAAUUGUGACUGAACCCAUAGGGCUGCCUAUGUAUCCCCUCUUAAACGGGAAUCAGGUCAGGCGUAGUUUAAUUACAUCGAUGAGGAAAGAUGAAAAUUACACAUAGUAACGCUUGACUGCAUCUGAAUUGAUCGGUUUUGGCCAAACUUUUCCGUCCAUUUCUGUGAGUAUGAGGGCUCCUCCUGUCAGAACUCGGUGAACCAUGUAUGGACCCUGCUAGUUGGGAGAGAACUUCCCUUUGGCUUUAUCUUUAUGCGGGAAAAUUUUCUUUAACACCAGUUGCCCCGGUGCGAACCGUCUUGGCUUGACUCUUUUGUUGAAGGCUCUGGACAUUCUAUUCUGAUAAAGUUGACCAUGGCAAACUACAUUCAUUCUUUUUCCGUCUAUAAGGGCUAGUUGCACAUAACGACUUUUCACCCACUCUACGUCGUCGAGCUCAGCUUCCUGCAUGAUCCUUAGGGAAGGAAUUUCUACCUCGGCGGGAAUGAUUGCCUCUGUACCAUAAAUCAGCAUAUAGGGGGGUGGCCCCAUUGAUGUGUGGACUGUGAUGUGAUACCCCAAUAGAGCAAAUGAUAACUUCUCGUGCCACUGUUUAUGCUUCUCUAUCAUUUUCCUCAAUAUCUUCUUGAUAGUUUUGUUGGCGGCCUCUACAGCUCCAUUCAUCUGCGGCCUAUAGGCUAUGGAAUUCUUGUGUUUGAUCUUGAAGGUUUUCACAUAGCUUUCAUCAAGUCACUGUUGAGGUUGGAGACAUUAUCAGUAAUGAUCGACUCUGGCACCCCGAAUCCACAAACAAGGCGUUCGCGGACAAAGUCUGCCAUGACUUUCUUAGUUACUGCUCUGUAAGAUGCUGCUUCGACCCAUUUGGUGAAAUAAUAGAUUGCUACUAGGAUAAACCUGUGCCCGUUGGAAGCGGCAGGCUCGAUUGGUCCAAUAACAUCCAUUCCCUAGGCGGCGAACGACCAUGGUGAGUUUGUUGCAUUAAGCUCAUUUGGAGGUACCUUUAUCUUGUCUGCAUGUAUCUGACAACGGUGGCAUUUCUGGACAUAUUGGAUGCAGUCCGUUUCCAUAGUCAUCCAAAAGUAACCAGCACAGAGUAUCUUCUUUUCUAAGAAAAAACCAUUCAUAUAUGGACCACAGGUCCCAACAUGAAUUUCCUCUAGUAGCUUGGAUACUUCCUUUGCAUCGACACAACUUAGUAAUCCCAAAUCAGGAGUCCUCCUAUACAGGAUUCCUCUACUAUGAAAGACUCAUCAUCUUCUUCAUCCAUCCAGAUCUAAUGAUAACCAACGAAACAAUCUACAAAUGACUGCAGCUCAUGCUUGGCACAAUUGUCAAUCAGGAUGUGUAUAUUCAGCAAAAGGAAGUCAUCUUUCGGACUGGCCCGGUUGAGAUCCCGAUAGUCGACAUAGACUCUGACCUUCCCAUCCGUCUUUGGCAUUGUCAUGAUGUUGGCUAACCAUGUCGGGUAUUCUACUACCCUGAGAACCUUAUCUUUGACUUGCUUAGUAACUUCUUCCUUGAUUUUCAAACUCAUAUCAGGCUUGAACUUUCUGAGCUUUUGCUUUACCGACGGACAUGUCGUAUCAGUUGGCAGUUUGUGAGCCACAAUAGACGUACUUAGACCAGUCAUGUCAUCAUACAACCAGGCGAAUAUGUCAUCGUAUUCCCUUAGAAAUUCUGUGUAUUCCUUCUUUUCUGAUCGUGAUAGGUGAACGCUGAAUCAUGUUUCCUUGACGUUUUCUGCAUCUCCCAGGUUAACAAUUUCUGUCUCGUCCAGGUUGGACUUAGGUCUGUUCUUAAAGUUCUCAACUUCUUGACGACCUCAUCUGGUAUUUCAUCCUCUUCUGAAUCAAUGUCCGUUUGUUACGUUGUCUCAUUGCAUGUCACAUUCAUUGGUUUAUCAAGAUAAGUAAUAGUAAUGUUGUAUAAGUAGAGUAAUGAGAGAAAAAUAAUAAUGAGUGUUGAUUCAUAAGAAAAGCCAAAAUGCUUUGAUAAAUUGCAUAACUGUUUUGAACAUUGGAGAUCUUACUGCGGGAAUAAGAAUGCAAAAAGAAAACCAUUAGUAAAAAAAUAGUUCAUGAUGCUUGUUUUAGCCUUGCUACCCCGAGGCUCGUUGGGCUCUGGUUGUCCUGAUAGUCCAAUUAUUGAGGUGUGCCCCUCUGCUCAUAGUCUUUAUGGAAUGGCCUUCCUCCCCUCCUCCUCGAGAACAACACAAUAGUCCAUGUCAUUGUCUUCUAGGAACAAGUUCUUCACCGCCGUAAGCGUUUCUUCUUCUUCUGACCCAUAAAAAAUGUGAGCCUGUUGGAAAGUCUGCUCCAAAUGCGGUAUUGGCUGCUCUAGUGGAUAAUAAGGACCGCUCCAGGGUGGUGACCAGUUGUUGAAUUCUUCCCAGGUGUACUUAUAUCCCAGACCGAAAGUAGUGCCAUAUUUCUUGAGCUUUAUGGGCUUAGCGAUUCCUUGGAGAUUCUUGCUGAGCCCCUUGCCAGGUUCGUACCCACUCCAAUUCAGUAUACUCUCGAUCUUGUUAUCCCACCACUUGUCUUUGUCAACAGUAUUUACCCGUUCAAUAUGAUGGUAAGUCUCUCCACCUAGCUUCCUUCUCCCUUCGAUUGCCAGAAUGGUCUGGCGACUGUAUAUAGGGUUGCUCAUGUUGCCGUGAAUGAUCACCUCUUGAUGAUUCCAUUCGAAUUUUACUGCCUGAUGUAGUGUCGAUGCUACGGCCCCAACGACAUGGAUCCAUCGCCGACCCAACAGCAGAUUGUAAGAUGCUGGCACGUCUAUCACCUGGAAAUCAAAGUCUAACCAUGUUGGCCCCAUUUGCAAGUAUAGACUAAUCUCCCCAAUGGUGGACCUUUGAGAACCAUCGAAAGUUUUCACAUUGAUGGCUCCGUCCUUUAUCUCGUUCAGUACCUUACCCAACUUCUUGAGUGUUACCAGUGGACAAAUGUUGAGACUGGAACCCCCGUCGAUCAGGAUCCUGGUAAUGAAGUAGUCCUCACAUUGCACAGUGAUGUGUAGUGCUUUGUUGUGUCCCAACCCUUCAGGUGGUAGCUCGUCCUCAUGAAAAGUGAUCUUAUGGCUCUCCAAUACUUGUCCUACCAUGUUAGCCAUUUCUCUGCCAGUGAUGUUGCUUAGUACGUAUGCCUCAGUUAGCACCUUUAACAGAGCAUUCUUGUGUGCCUCAGAAUUUUGCAGCAAAGAGAGAAUGGAGAUUUGUGCUAGUGUCUUGUUUAACUGGUCGAUGACCGAAUAUUCCUUGGACUGUAUCUUCCUCUAAAGAUCGUCCGGACCUGUCUCAAUGAGGGGUGGCCGAUUGGAGGCCAGCUUGCUUGACUCGGCUAGGUGUUCCGGGGUGUAAACCCUACCAGUUCUCAUCAUACCCUGUGCAACAACAGUCUCUUCGAACCUGACCUUGCCUUUCCUCUUUGCAUCAGCUGUAUAGUCCCAGGGUACAACCUUUGUAUGAAAUGGUGUCAUGGUCGACAUCGCCAUUGCGAUCGGCGUGGCUAUCCUUACUCCGAACGGAGCAUGUGCGUUGGGCAGCAAGACUGCAACUUCAAACGAUGUGAGUGCAUUUGUCGGAGACACGAAUUCAACCUCAAUUGGCACUGGUGUCUUAAUGGAUGACGUUGCUUCAAAUUCAAGCGACACAAACAUAUUUUCCUCAACGUCCCCAAAUGGUUGAAUUUGGACUAUGAUCGGAUUAAGAGUAACUAUUGGCUUCUUUGGGUCAUCUCCUUCCGCAAUUAACCCGAUUGAUCCCUCGGGAUACCACUCAUCCUCUAUUUCAAUCAUGUGAACGCCUCCACCCUUAUGGUCUGGCAGGAGGUUAUUGUGGACAUUCGGAGCGGGUUCUUUUGCCAUAAUAAUCUUGUUAUCGAUCAAAGACUGGAUCUUAUCUUUCAAAUAACGGCAUUCAUUGAUAGUGUGCCCCUUCAUGCUGUAGUGGCAGGCAUAAGAUUUGUUUGGGUUAACCCACUAGGAAGGGUUCUCAAGGGUUGCAGCAGGGAUAGGGGUAACAUAACCAACAGUUUUGAGUCUCUCGUACAACUGGUUAAUAGGUUCAACAAUAGCUAUAUAUUGUUUUGGGGGUCUGCGAUCAAAAUUUGGUCGAGGUUUAGGGAAAUUUUGGCGUGUAGGAGGUGAUUGAUAGUGGGAUGGUUGAGUAUUGUAGGUUUGGUAGACAUGUGCGGGCUGGGAAUAUCUGGGCAAAGUGGGCUGGUAUGUUGGAGGCAGAGGUGAUUGAUAAGUGGGUGGUGGAGCUUGGUAUGCGGGUGAUGGUGCUUGGUAGUUCGGAGUUGGUUGAUAUGUGAGUGGAGGUAUUGGAUAAGUUGGUAUUUGAUAGGAGAUUUGUUUCUCUGUGCAACCAUUACGGCCACCACAUCCAUUUUCUUGGACACACCACCGGACUGUAAGGCCUUAUUUGUAGCUUGCAAGGCCUCGAAGUUUGUAACCAUACUGUUUUUGAUGCCCUCUUCAAUCAUUUCACUUAGCUUGAUAAUAUCAGAAAAUUUGUGGCUCUCAAUCAUCAUUAAUCUUUCAUAAUACUGCGGGUCCUGAGCCCGAAUAAAGAAAUUGUUCAUCUGUUCCUCUUCUAAGGCAUGUCUGACCUUAGCAGCUUCGGACCUCCAACGAGUAGCAUACUCGUGAAAUGUUUCUGUGGGCUUCUUCUUUAGAUUUUGAAUAUAGAACACGUCUGGAGCAUUCUCUAUGUUAAACCUGAACCUGUCCAUAAAGUCGGAUGCCAUGCCUACCCAGUUUGACCACUUCUUUGGAUCUUGGCUAAUGUACCAAGACAAAACAUCUCCUUUCAAACUCCUUAUGAAAAGCUUCAUGCGGAUUCGCUCAUCUUUCCCUACUCCAACUAGCUUGUCACAGUACAUUCUCAAAUGGACCCUUAGAUCCCCUGUACCAUCAAACAUUUCGAACUUUGGAAGUUUGUACUCCUCGAGAAGUUCAGUGUCGGACAGUAUGCAAAGAUCUUCAUUGUUCAACCCUUCAAUUCCCUUGCUUCCUUCGAUGCCUUGAAUUCGGCUAGUCAAUCUUUAAAGUUCUUCGGCCAGGUUCUUGAUGAGCAAGUCCUUAUCAUCAGACUUGGGUGUGCUUGAGAUGGGUUGGGUGGAGUGUGGCACGGUCUCCACGUAGAUAGGGGUGUUAUGGUGGGUGUGAAAGUGGUCAUUUGUGGAGUUUUGGAGUUCUUCGAUGAGUAACUGGGUGUUGUUUGAGGUAUGGCAGGUGUUGUAGUGAUGGUGAGGAGCGGGAUGGUUCUAUUGCUUUGGGAUAUUCUGUGGAGGUAUAGGGUUCUGAGCAUUUGGGAAAUUGAUAUCUGGAGUGGUGAGGGAAAAUGACAGACUUGCCAGAUUCCGAACCUGAUCAAGUUCUUUUUGGAAUUUAAAUAGUUUUUGUUCGAGUUGGGAUGCAUUUUCCUUAGGAACCUGAGUUCCAUGACCAUGAGUGACCUCUACCCGUUCAGUUGAGUUCUCCUUUCUGACGUUCAAAUCUUCCAUCUUCCCUUUGUUCUUGUUUUUGACAGGACUAAGAGGAGGAGUGGGUGGAGGGUCCUUGGAUAUUGUGGAAUAGGAUAAUGUUGCCAGAGUGCACGAACUAACCUUUGGGGAGGGGAAUAAUAAAAAAAGUAAAAACAAAAAGGUAACCAAGUUAGUGAGGAUUAUAAAAAGUGUUGCAAUAUUUAAACACAUAGUGCGGAAUGUAAAAUGUGUCCUAAUUUGGAACCUCUUUGUGCCCGAGGUAGGCCUAGCAAUAAAUUGAUUUGAAGAACUUAGGAUGAUAAAUGCCUCAUUUUAUUGAUAAAGAUAGACAAAUCCCAAAUUGACACUAAGUAAACAGGAAAUGAAAAUCACUAAUGGCCAUAAUAUUCCUAAACUGAAGUCAAGGAGGAAAGUUCCAUCGUGUCCUUCAAAGAUCGAUCUGAUAAUUGCGUAUAUAAGGUUUUACCUAACUAGCCCUAAAGGUAACUUAAAAUCCUCAAGCUCGGCUGGCAGGCUGUCUUAAAUAAAAGGAAUGCAUUGGCCUUAUUACAUUUUAUAGAGCAAAAGGAAAAACUCCUAUCUAUUUGGUCCUAGAAGGACCUUCCCCAGAUUAAAUGCUCUCGUUAAUCCAAUCCUCCAAUUCACGUAGGUUCACCAGUAAAAAUGCCUUUGCCAGGUGUUCUCCUUCAUUUCCCUCAGUGUUUUGGCAGUCGGUGACUCUCUUCCUCACUUUUCCUUCCAAUUCCAGUAGACUGUAUUCUAGAUAUUCCAACUUUUCGCUAGCUUUGGUGACCCUCUCUUUCCAUUCAUUGAUUUGGUCACUUGAUGGAAGACUCCUUCAUCAGUCUAGCAAGAGUGAGGGUGUGCUAACCAUACCGAAGCUGGGGACCUCGUUCUCCAUUUUCUGCAAAACAAAAGGGUUAAGACCAUACCCCCACCAGACUCGAGUAUUUAAUACCAACAAUUAGCAUGAAGCAUUUAGUUCUCCAAAUAAAUGCACAUAACAUGGUGACGUCCAUUUGGGUUCAGGGAAACCCAGUGGACUUGGGUCAAGGCUAUCUUAAAGGGUUAUUAUGUGGACAACAUAACUGACCCGGCUAGGUUUGACUAUGAUGCGUGCACAGUUUAAUAGAGUAAGGUUUCUAUGGGGUUUUAGACUGGUACCCUUGAGCAGACAACUCAAUGGGGAAAGGCGCGGAACCGUCGAGUGCACCACUGAUCGACUGGUUUUACUGCAAAUAUGUCUUUUCCGGAUUUAGGGGGUAAUAAUAUAGGAAGAGUGCAACCACUCAUUAUAAGCGUUGCUAUGGUAUUUUGUUUGGCACAAAUGGAGUAUGAUGUUGAGCAUGGAUAAGCAAUAAUUAAAAGCAUGUUUACAUGUAUUUGCACAUUAAGAAAGUAGUAAAUACAACAAUUUCAUAAUUUAAAGAAAUAGUAAAGGAAAGAAACAAAGAAGACAAGUCAGUUUUGCAGUUGAAAAGGAAAUUGAAUGCUUAAAGGAAUUAAACAACAUAAAGAGGUAUAAAUUCACAAUAACAGUCUGAAAUGGUAAAAGCCUAAAUAUCCCCAGCAGAGUCGCCAUGCUAUUGCGCCCCCUUUUUUCCUUCUUAUGCAAUCGAGAGAUCGGGUUUGUGACAUUUAGUAUAGGACAACUCAUUCUUUUUGGGAACUGGGUUUUGCAUUUUGAAGAGCCACCACCUAAUGAUUUAAGGUGCAUUAAUACACCUAUAAGAUCUACUCCUAAGCUUGUUUGAUAACCAGAGAACGUGUAAGGGCUUGAAACUAUCCUAAGGGGAAGGUAUUAGGCACCCCUCAGGAUCCACUAGUGUGGUUCCCGGCCAUAAAGUUUAUUGUGAAUUUGUACAAUUUAAUAGACAAAUAUAGGCUCAAAUAUUAGGGGAUUUAAGUUUAAACACAUAAGAGUUUGAAAACAAUUAAAGGCGAAUUUUGAGAAGGGUUAUAAUUUCUACAAAUACUUGAAAAUAUAAAAUAGAAGGGGGGUCCUAGGUUUAUUUAUACUAUGGAUCACAUCAAUGCGAUACCCGGUAUGACACUCCUCAGAAGAGGGGAUACACGUGGCAUUAGCGCACCGAUCAUCAUAUCCAUAUCUAUCCUUCCCACCCCGUUAAGGUAUUAAAGCGCGGAUUGGUUUCGAUGUUUAUUGCAUGCUACUACCUGUCCCUUCCUAUCAGUCCCGAAGAUUUUUAGGACUACUAUUCCUAAAGGGGAGGGAUAUUAGGCUGAUUUUUGGUUUUAAAGGUGAAAAAGCUAAGGUGACAUACAAAACAUAUAGGGCUGCACAUUAGGGGAAACAUAUAACAAAUAAGAGGCUCAUGUAUACCUCCUCAAACAAAACACAUAAAUAGCAUGACUUAAACAUACAUCUAAGGUCUGACUUUAACAUACUAAGGUAAGGGAAAUUUCAAUUAUUGAGGCAAACCAGUUUAUUAUAUAACUCAGAUAACAAGUUCGUAUCAGGCCUGCCUGCUAGUUGUAGCAAUUAACAAAGGCGGAUUCAAUUCUUUGGUUGUUAUCACCUAAGGCUUGCCUAAGCGUUUAGGAGAGAUCCUAUAGACAUGGUAUCUAUUCAGAAUGAAGCGAAAUAGUAACAAUUGAAGACGAACGAUUUGGAUCCUGUAGGCAUGCUUUCUAAACCGCGUUAAAGUAAAGAGUAAGGUGGUUUAAAACUAAUUCAGAGUCAAACUGAUUUUAAAUUGGCUUCAGAUCCUAUCUGCAGGAUAUCUAGUGUUGCUCAUUUUAAUUCCUAUAGACGUGAUAUCUAGUCGAGCGUGAAUUGAAGCAUGCAAUAUCCCUAUAGGCAUGAUUUCUACGAAAGGGGGUACUGAAAAUGAUAUCUGAUUUUAGCCCGUUAGUUCCUAAGCAUGGUGUUUAAGUGUGGUAAUGCAGAAAUUAAGACAAGUCCUAUAGAUAGGUUCUCUAAAUGCGGAAUUCAAUAUGCAAAAUUUAGGUCCUGUAGGCAUAUUAUCUAAAUGUAGAACAUUCAGGAAUUUUAGUGAAAUUGGAUCAUAUAGACAUGGUAUCUAGAUGCAGAAUUAAACAUGCAGAACAACAGAUGAUAUCUAAAUUGAAGAAUUUAACAUGCAGAAUUUUAGAUCCUAUAGACGUGAUAUCUACCCUUGAGCAUGCAUAAUUACCCAGCCCCUUUCACUAGCCAAGCCCCCGAAUGUUUAUUACAAAAUUAUUACAGACUAGAUAAUGAAUUACAUCAAGGAAGCACAAAAGAAAAGUUAAAACCAGAGGAAACCUGAUUCUUGACUUCCUCUCUGAGUUAUGGAAUAAACCACCUCAAGUGCCAUUGUUUCAAAGCCUUUCUCAGACUUGAGUGUGUCAAAGUUCCCUAAGGGUCUCAAAAGGACCCCGGGUAGUGCUCACACCCAAGUUGCAUAACCAAAUAGAGAUGAGUACAGUAUGGAAGGGCCAUCCCUUAUGAGUCCAAGUUCAGAGGGAGCUCACGGGUCCCAAGGCAAGGCUCACACAAGAGGGGCAGAACUUAAGUCUAAGAAUAUGGUGGAAGUGCAGGAGUAAAGAUUUAGAACUGAGUUGAGAAUGGAGAGGGGAGAGGGGUGAGUUUAAAAUAGUAGCAGUAAAGGUAAAAUCACAGAAUCAACAAUUGCACAAAAGGGUUAGGGGUUUGGGAAAUACAUUUCAAGGAGCAUAUAUUCUUAAACAGGGACUAGGUUUGGGCACACACAGUAAUAAAUGGUGCUAUCAUGCCUAUAAACCAACCAGAACACACAACAUAUAGAGGGGAUAUGGAGGUUAUGAUCCCAGGGAAUCAGGUUUGGGUCAUGCACAACAAUGUUCAAUGUUGUCAUGCCCCAAACCAACCAAAGAUACCAAACACAUAGGGGAUGUGGAACAUAUGACCCAGGGAGGGUCAGGUUUAGGUCAUGCACAACAAUGUAUGAUGCUGACAUGCCCUCAAACCAAUAUACAAACACAUAGGGGGUAUGGGGUAUUGGGGUUCAUACAUGAGAAAACAUUAUUUCAGAAAAAGGAAAGGGUAGAUCAUAGCAUGCUUGAUAAUGAAACUCGAUUUAACAUAACCAGGAAACUAGUAAGAGUGAAAGAAUUAGUAAAGAAAUAUGUUGUUGUUGAUGCUGGAAGAGUAGUUAGGACAUACCAGUAAAGAAAGGAAAUGCAGAAAGAAAAAGUAGGCAAGUUUCCCACAGCCUAGCCUUGGCUUUCAGCCGGCUAGACAAGGUAGCAACACAAGUAGUAACAGAGAAAAGAGAGAGAGAGAGAGUUUGAGUGAAGUGUGUGUUUUUGAACUCAAUUGGUCCGUGUCUUUGAAAGAAGGGGGGCAUAAUGUAUUUAUAGUUUUUUGAAAACGAGUAAAGGAAAAAUAAUGAGAUAGAAACAUGGAAACAAUCAUAGGUCAGAAUCAAUUACACGAGUGAUUCCCUUUAAUUAAGGAAUCAUUGUUUAACAGAUUCAAAUAAGGAAAGAGAUCAGUUUAGAUACAGAUUGAUUAUUUCCAUAAAAGAAGUAGUACAAGAAUCUAGUAAGUAAUCAAGUCUAAGUACAUAAUAUACUUAUUUUGGAAGUCGAUUCAGCAAGGUAUUACAAUAGAGGGAAAAGAAUCAAUCAAUUUUGAACUGGCGAGUGAAAUCAGAGUUCAUAAAAGGAAAACUUUAGAAAUUAGUCACAAGGUGAAGAUUAAUCAAGGAAGAAAUUUCAGCAUAUAAAUAAAGUGAACAGGUUCAUCAAACAUGCAAGGCCAAACAAAAGAGAUAACCGCAAACAUGCAAUAGUGGAAAAAAUAAGCUAGUUGUAAAGCAAACAGUCGAAGCAUAUUAAUCAAGUAGGUUAUGUCACAUUGAAUCAAUAGUGAAGAAAAAAUAGAGUAUCAGAAGCAUGUAAAGUUCUCACAGUAACAGAAGAUAAACCUUUUGAAAAGUUAGGGUUUCAAUCAUAUUCAAGUUUUAAAGAUAGUAGAAACCUAGAGUCAGAGGAAUCACAUGAAGGAAAAGGGAUUCUAAAACAAGGAACUUCAAAUCGAGUUAGGCAUUUAAACGAACAGUUUCAGACCCAAAGUCACAGGGUUCUCAGCAAUAGUCGAGCCCUAAAAAUAGAUCAAACAACACUUAACCAAACUAACACUCAUCUAACAAACAACUUUUAGAACUCGACUGAGACCCACAAGAAUUUAGGGUUUUCAACAACAACGAGUUCGAAAGAUGGUAAACAGACGAGUCAAGCAAGAUUUUAAACAAAAAAAUGCACAUCUUAAACAUAUUAAAAGUUGGAGAAGAGAUUUUGAAAUAACUUUAUAGGAAAAAACCCUAAUCGGAAAAAAGAGUCGUUUUUGAAAGUAAAAUUGAAGAAACUUCGAGAAGAUGCUUAAUAGUUUAGAGCAAGCAUAGAUCUAAAGUGGAUCUGAACGAAAUCGAAAAGACCUUAGAGAUUAGGGUUUCAGAAAACCCAGAAAAGAUGAGAAAGGCUU